AUAUGAGAAAGGCUUUGCUUUGUUUUCCACCUUGAACAGCUUCUUGGAGGACCAGAUGUCUUCAUUGGCUUCUUGAAGGCUUAUAUUCAGCAGUUUGCCUAUAAGAGUGCUGUGACUGAAGAUUGGAAGAAGUUCUUGUAUUCCUACUUCAAGGAUAAGGUGGAUGUUCUCAACAAAGUUGACUGGAAUGCAUGGAUGCACAUCCCUGGCAUGCCACCAGUAAAACCAACGUG